rnacentral:lncRNA from 10 species
GUAUAAUCUAUCAUGUCUAGAGAAUGUACUGUAUUACAGGACUACAUGAGAGACACCUAACAUAAAUUUUGGAAGGCAGGGUGGGGAGAGAUCUGGGAGGGCUCCUUAAAGGAAUCUAAACUGAGGAUAAGUUAAAAUUUUCUAGACAAAAAAUAAGCUGAAAAUUGUUCUAACCGUGGGGAACAGCGUGUAAGAAGGAGAGAAAAGGUAAGAUAAUUUGAUGGCACUCAGGGAAGUUCAUUUUAAUAUCAAUAGUCCAGCCCUUCUUGCUUUAUCACUAAAGGCCAUUUCCAUGUAGUGAUACAUUCAAAAGACACAAAAUGCUAGUACCAAAAAAGCUUGGAAUUAUAGCCAGUCACACCACAUCUAGAAAAAUUUCUAAGGGUCUUUGACUUUAUUGCUGUUGAAGUUCCUUAGAAGCAGAGCCCGAGGCAGUAAUUGGGGUGCAGGUGAUUCAGUCGGGAGCGUGCUUCAGGAAGAACCUGUAAAGGAAGCGGGAUAAUCAGGAAAUUGAGCUGAGCAACGGUGCAGUUUCAGGUGAGAUCUAGCCUUGCUAAUCCAAGGGGGAAGGGCUCUGUAGCAAAAACCACACCAGAGAGCUGCCCCCUGUACUUCAGGAAAAGGGCCUACUUUUUGUACCCAUAAAGCCAGUCAUUGGCAGAAGGCAUAAUAUUGGGAACAUACUUUCCUCGUUCUGACACAUAUAUUUCAGCCCUUCCAUCUCAUUUUGUUUCCAUUAUUUUGACCACACAAUGUUUUCUAGAGCUAAGUAAUACAAUUACAGACUCCUGAGAAAGUUGAGGGAGGAAGGAAACAGGUGUUGCUGCUGUGAUGCUUUUCUCAGUACUGCUGGAGUGCAGGGUGUGUGUGGAGGCAGAGAGUGGGCUGUGGAGAAACUAAGGCUGGAGAGAUGCCUGCUUCCCUUUCGCUUCUCUGCUAUGUUAUGACACAGCAAGAGGCCCUCAUCAGGAGCUAACCAGAUUUGGCCACCAGUCUUGGACUUCCCAACCUCCUGAACGGUCCUUAAACCUCAGUCUUGGAGAUGAAGGGAAGGACAGGCUCUCUCGCUAAAGUGGGCUCAUUCAAGAAGUUGAGAAGGGACAAGGAAGCCCCAUUUCAUUCUACCUUCACUGUGGCAUCUUCAGGGAAAACAGAUGCAGCAGUUGAUACUAGAGACCUUUCUCCUCUGGAACCCAACUUCAAGCAAGAACCAAAUAUCCUGGCCUGAGGUUCCUGUGAAGAUGUUCCCAUCUACCUUGUUGAAUGAAGGCAAGAGGACUAUGAGGAAUGCUUCUCUCUCCUCUGGCUUGCAUUUCUAAACCAUCUCUCUACCUCCCCAACUGUUGUUGCCCCAGACUACCUACAAUCCCUUAGAGUUUCUACUACAUGCACCAAGCUCUUCCCACCAAGCUCCACCUGGACUGCUCUUUCUCCAGCCCUUUGAAUACUUGCUCCUUUUAGGUUGAAAUACCAUUUUUCUUGACUGGCCCAUUUAGAAAAUGACUUUUUCUGUUAUUCUCCAUCUCAGUGCCCAAAUUAUUUAAUCACUUUAAAA